UACGUAGGGGGCAAGCGUUGUCCGGAAUCAUUGGGCGUAAAGCGCGUGUAGGCGGCUUUGCAAGUCGGGUGUGAAAGCCCUCAGCUUAACUGAGGAAGUGCGCCCGAAACUGCUUGGCUUGAGUACCGGAGAGGAUGGCGGAAUUCCCCAAGUAGAGGUGAAAUUCGUAGAUAUGGGGAGGAACACCGGUGGCGAAGGCGGCCAUCUGGACGGAUACUGACGCUGAGACGCGAAAGCGUGGGUAGCAAACAGG
rnacentral:rRNA from 1 species